rnacentral:rRNA from 1 species
CAAUAGCGUAUAUUAAAGUUGUUGCGGUUAAAAAGCUCGUAGUUGGAUUUCUUCUCUUAUCAGCCGGUCCUCACUUCGUGAGAGUAUCUGGUCAGAUUUGAGAAUCCUCUUGAGGAACGUCGCUGCGCUUGAUUGCGUGGCACGGUAUUCAAGACUUUUACUUUGAGGAAAUUGGAGUGUUCACGGCAGGCAUUCGCCUUGUACACAUUAGCAUGGAAUAAUAAUAUAGGGCGUAAGUUCUAUCUUGUUGGUUUCUAGAACAUACGCAAUGAUUAAUAGGGACAAUUGGGGGCAUUCGUAUUAACGCGUCAGAGGUGGAAUUCUUAGAUUGCGUUACGACGAACUACUGCGAAAGCAUUUGCCAAGGAUGUUUUCAUUGAUCAAGAACGAAAGUAUGGGAUCGAAGACGAUCAGAUACCGU